rnacentral:rRNA from 1 species
GAUGAACGCUGGCGGCGUGCCUAAUACAUGCAAGUCGAGCGAACAGACGAGGAGCUUGCUCCUCUGACGUUAGCGGCGGACGGGUGAGUAGCACGUGGAUAACCUACCUAUAAAACUGGGAUAACUUCGGGAAACCGGAGCUAAUACCGGAUAACAUGUUGAACCGCAUGGUUCAACAGUGAAAGACGGUCUUGCUGUCACUUAUAGAUGGAUCCGCGCCGCAUUAGCUAGUUGGUAAGGUAACGGCUUACCAAGGCAACGAUGCGUAGCCGACCUGAGAGGGUGAUCGGCCACACUGGAACUGAGACACGGUCCAGACUCCUACGGGAGGCAGCAGUAGGGAAUCUUCCGCAAUGGGCGAAAGCCUGACGGAGCAACGCCGCGUGAGUGAAGAAGGUCUUCGGAUCGUAAAACUCUGUUAUUAGGGAAGAACAAAUGUGUAAGUAACUAUGCACGUCUUGACGGUACCUAAUCAGAAAGCCACGGCUAACUACGUG